CGACUUCUGGGACUCGACGAACUAGGUCAUCCCUUAUUAAGUAUGAAGGGUCAAAGUCAUCUCUUGUUAAGCAAAAAGGACUAGGGUCGCCCUUCUCAUUUCUGUCAUGGUCCGACGAGUGCCUACAACAGACAGAAAGAGUGUGAGAACAGGGUCCGCAUAUGUUAUCAAAUCUUAAUCGAGUCCUGGACUUCCACUCGUAAUUAGGUAACGAGUUCGGGAGUUCAGAGCAAUCGGAUGACCAUAUUGGUGAACUCG
rnacentral:lncRNA from 1 species